GAUGGAGCAAUACCAUGUGAACGAUGAAGGUCUUCUGAUUGUAAAGUUCUUUUAUUUAGGAAAAAAAGCUUGAGAGGAAAUGAUUAAGCCUUGAUUGUACUAAAUGAAUAAGUGACAGCUAACUAUGUGCCAGCAGCUGCGGUAAAACAUAGGUCACGAGCAUUAUCCGGAUUUAUUGGGCGUAAAGGAAGCGUAGGCGGACAAGUUGAUCUAUUGUGAAAGGCACUUGCUCAACGAGUUGUUUGUGAUAGAUAUCGUUUGUCUAGAAUUAGUUAGGAGAUACUGGAAUUCAAUGUGUAGCGGUGGAAUGCGUAGAUAUAUUGAGGAACACCAGAGGCUAAGGCGAGUAUCUAGGACAUAAUUGACGCUGAGGCUUGAAAGCGUGGGGAGCAAAUGGGAUUAGAUACCCCAGUAGUCCACGCCGUAAACGAUGGGUAUUAGGUAUUUGGUUUAGGACUGAGUGCUGUAGCUAACGCGUUAAAUACCCCGCCUGGGUAG
rnacentral:rRNA from 1 species